UGAAAUAUUGCACUGUAUUUUUUCUAUCAUAUUUGUAAAUUAGCAAUAUUUUAUAAAAACCUGCAUUUCUGUUUAGACUUAAUAUGAAACAGUACUUGGAGUUGAGACAGAGGAAAAAUUUGACUAUAGUAGAAAACUAUAUUAAGAUAUUUUUAAAAAUUGUUUCUGAUCAAGUUUCAUAGCAUUUAGGUCUUGUCAUAUGUGUUCAUCGAGUUAACUAUUAAUACAUAGUAAUUUAAUAAUUGUGAACUUCCCUUUUGUAUUUUGAGAACUAUAUGAAUGGUUGGGUGUAAAGGAUGAGGAACACAGAUCUCUUCUUUCUAUGUAAGCGGAGGGCCGUUACCUGUCUAAGUUCUUUCAUUUGAUCAAGGUAAAACCUGUUGGUUCAGUAUCUCCUCUUUCCUUCUGAAGAAUUACGUGUUUUUCAAUGAAUUUAUUAUAAAUAUUUGUUUUAUGCUUGUUAAUUUUCUAUUUGUUGAAUACUGUGCUUUACGUAUGGCUUACUGGGUCCUCAUAUCGAUGUUAGAGUAAAUGGGUAGAGAUUUUUACUGAAUUUUGAGCCUUUCUAAGUUUCCUGAGAAUGCCCUUUAUUGCUCUUCUGCAUGCCAAUUUUAUCCUUUGAGCUGUGGGCAGCUUGCAGAAGAAAUAACCAGGGAUAUGAAUAGAGUAAGAAAACAUUUUUUAAAAAAAACUAGUAUUUUUAAAUGUAUGAAUGUCUUCCAUUGAAUAAUGCCAUGCAUAAUUAGUGUCCCAAAAUAUUAUAAUUUAAAAGAAGUGCUCUACUGUAAUUUCUUUCAUAAUUUUCCUACAUACAGCUGUCUGCCUAAUCUUUUGUUCCUGUAAUGAUAAGGGAGAGGUCCCUUAAAUUUCAUGUUUUACUCAAAGAUUCCCUUGACAAAAUUGACCCUUGAAAAGAAGAUAUCUUCAAUAAGGCAAGCAAUUAACUUUCCCACGAGGUCAAGACACGAGGAAAUGCUCCCUACCCCGACUGACUCCUACUUUUCCCUUCUUCACAUAUUUUGUUGUUUUUGUUGUUGUUCCUCAAACCUCUUCCCAAAACUAUGCAGGUUUGCCAGAAGAAGACCUGAUUCUGUUCUGUCUAGCACAAAUUUACAGUUAGAAAAUUCCUUCUAGUUUAAUUCCAAGGAUGAAACUCCAUGUCUUUUUAAUAAGUUGUCUUAUAUUAAUCCCCUUACUCAUUGAUUCAUUUCUUUUCCAAGAAAAUUUUUAUUAUCUGAUCAAAAUGUGUCAACUACAAUAACAUAAUCUAGAGAUGAAUAUAUGAAUAGGAGAAGUUUCCAGCCUUCAUAGGCUAAUGGUGAUAUUGGUUUAAAAACAAUCCAAAUACAGUAUGAUAGAUAAAAGUGCUAAAUGCUAGGGCGGCAAAGAGGAGGAAAUAAGAAGCAACAGUUGAGUGAACCAGGAGGAGCUUCCCAGAAGAGUUGUGUCAUAAAAAUUAUGUAGGUGCUCAUCAGAUGAAGAGGAAGAGAAUGGGCUUCUAGAGGGCAGGAAAUAAAUGACAGAGAAGGCAAAUCAGAAGAAUCAAGGCAUUUUUUCAAGGAAGACAUACAAAUGGCCAAUAGGUACAUGAAGAGAUGCUUGACAUCACUAACCAUGAGGGAAAUGCAAAUGAAAACUACAAUGAGAUAUUAUCUCACACUUGUUAGAAUGGCUAUUAUUGAAAAGAUAAGAAGUAACAGGUGUUGGUGAAGAUGUGGAAAAAGAGGAACUCUUGUAUGCUGUUGGUGAGUAUAUAAAUUGGUACAGCCACUACGGAAAACAGUAUGGAGGUUCCUCAAAAAAUUAAAAAUAGAUCUAUCAUAUGAUCAAGCAAUCCCACUUCUGGGUAUAUAUCCAAAGGAAAUGAAAACAGUAUCUCAAAGAGAUAUCUGCACUCCCAUGUUCGUUUCAGCAUUGUUCACAAUAGCCAAGACAUGGAAACAACCUAAGCGUCCAUCAAUGGAUGAAUGGGUAAAGAAGUUGUGGUGUACAUAUGUGCAAUGGAAUAUUAUUCAACCAUAAAAAAGAAGGAAAUCCUCUUUUGUGACAACAUGGAUGGACCUUGAAGUACCCCAGUACAUAAUUCCAGUUGUAGGUCCUUCUGGUUGUGCUAUGUGGGAUGCUGCCUCAGCAUGGCCGGAUGAGUGGUGCCACAUCCAUGGCCGGAAUCUGAACCCGUGAAACCCUGGGUCGCUGAAGCAGAGUACACGAACUUAACCACUUAGGCACGGGGCCAGCCCUAGGUAUGACUUUUUUGAUGUUAGGACUCUUAGCAGCCCAAAGUGGUCCAGACCAUUUCUUGUUUAACCAAAUCUUUCCCUCCAAGUGCCUAGUGAGUACUCACUCAUAAAGUUCUACUUCAUGACAGGAAAGCAUUCUCUUCUUGGAAAAGAGUUUGGUUAUUGGGCCAUCAAGAUGCAGCCCAUCUUUAUGCUUAGUUAAUGCCACUUUGGCCUUGAGAAUACUUUAGUGUUUUAUUUUCCGAGCUUGAUAUGGCCUCAGUUCUUGUUUGGGUCCUGCUGUAAAGAACUGAAUCAUUACAGUGAAGCAGAAAGCCCUGUGCAGCCUAUGAAACCCAGAUCAACCCCAGGGGAAAUGAGUUUAGGAAAUACUGCCUUUGUGAGAUAUAACUUAGCAAAUGAAAAGAAAAAUAGUAGCCUGUUGUAAUCAGCCUUAAUGGAGUAACAGGACUCGGAUUUACCCUUCCACCAUAAACAGCUGGAAUGCUGGAGAAAAUACAGGAAACAACUGUUUUUAGAUGUUUGGCAAUAGAGAAUGCAUGUCUGUAAACUCUGAUAAAAUAUAUAUUUUUAAAUAUGGAUCAAGCAUCAGUGAUCUGUGGAAUAAUACCAAGUCUAACAUAUGAGUAAUUUGAGUCUUGGGGAGAGGGUAAGAUUAUUUGAAGAAAUAAUGGACAAAAAUUUUGUGAAUUUGAUGAAAACCGUAAAUCCACAGGUUGAAGAAAUUCAACAAAUUCCAAGCCAGACAGACAUAUACACAGGAAUGCACAAAACAUGCCAAGGGCUAUCACAAUUAAAUUGCUAAUAAUAAGUGGUAAAAAGAAAAGAUUUUUUUUAAAAAAGUAGAGAAAAAUACACAUUAGCUAUAGGUGAACAAAAUAAAAGAAUAACUAUAGAACUAUUGCCAAGAAUUCUGCAAGACAAAAGCAGAAGCCAGUGAAAUGACACCUAUAAAGUGCUAAUGGGAAAAAACUGUCAACCUAGAUUUCUAUAUCCAGUGAAAAUAUUCUUUAAUAUAUCUUAACUAAUAUCCUUUGAUAAUAAAGAAGAAAUAAAGGUUUUCAGACAAAAGCCGAAAAAAAUUGUCGCAAGCAAACCUGUUCUAGAGAAAAGUUAAAAGUUGUUCUUCGGGCAAAUGACACAAUAUAGAAACCUGGAUCUUUCCAAAGGAUUGAGAUUGAAGAGUGC
rnacentral:lncRNA from 1 species